rnacentral:tRNA from 1 species
UAGAUUAUAUCUUAAUAAAAGUAUUUCAUUUACAUUGAAAAGAUGUUAAUUUUUAAUUAA